AGAGUCCUGAAGUGUUCGUUCUUUUACCUGAAAUUUUGACCAACAUUAUUUCUUCGGGAGUCCAGGUUUUCCAGCUGCAUAAAUGCCUCUAUCACGAGGACUUAUAAAGUCUGGGAACAGGACACCCACCUGCUGGGUGCAGGAUCAAAACGAAGGAAGCUUGGGACGGCACCAUUGGGGCUCUU
rnacentral:other from 1 species